AUUGAACGCUGGCGGCAGGCCUAACACAUGCAAGUCGAACGGUAACAGGAAGCAGCUUGCUGCUUUGCUGACGAGUGGCGGACGGGUGAGUAAUGUCUGGGAAACUGCCUGAUGGAGGGGGAUAACUACUGGAAACGGUAGCUAAUACCGCAUAACGUCGCAAGACCAAAGAGGGGGACUUUGGGGCCCUUGGCAACGGGUGGGGCCAGAUGGGAUUAGCUAGUAGGUGGGGUAACGGCUCACCUAGGCGACGAUCCCUAGCUGGUCUGAGAGGAUGACCAGCCACACUGGAACUGAGACACGGUCCAGACUCCUACGGGAGGCAGCAGUGGGGAAUAUUGCACAAUGGGCGCAAGCCUGAUGCAGCCAUGCCGCGUGUAUGAAGAAGGCCUUCGGGUUGUAAAGUACUUUCAGCGGGGAGGAAGGGAGUAAAGUUAAUACCUUUGCUCAUUGACGUUACCCGCAGAAGAAGCACCGGCUAACUCCGUG
rnacentral:rRNA from 1 species